UGACGGUACCUGACUAAGAAGCCCCGGCUAACUACGUGCCAGCAGCCGCGGUAAUACGUAGGGGGCAAGCGUUAUCCGGAUUUACUGGGUGUAAAGGGAGCGUAGACGGUAUGGCAAGUCUGAAGUGAAAGCCCGGGGCUCAACCCCGGGACUGCUUUGGAAACUGUCGAACUAGAGUGUCGGAGAGGCAAGUGGAAUUCCUAGUGUAGCGGUGAAAUGCGUAGAUAUUAGGAGGAACACCAGUGGCGAAGGCGGCUUGCUGGACGAUGACUGACGUUGAGGCUCGAAAGCGUGGGGAGCAAACAGGAUUAGAUACCCUG
rnacentral:rRNA from 1 species